rnacentral:tRNA from 1 species
GCGGGCGUAGCUCAAUGGUAGAGCGUAAGCUUCCCAAGCUUGCUACGAGGGUUCGAUUCCCUUCGCCCGCUCCA